rnacentral:rRNA from 1 species
GAACGCUAGCGGCAGGCUUAACACAUGCAAGUCGAGGGGCAGCAUGGGACGGAGAUUCGUCGAAGUCCUGAUGGCGACCGGCGCAAGGGUGCGUAACGCGUGAGCAACUUGCCCGUUUCAGGGGGAUAACCGGUGGAAACGCCGACUAAUACCCCAUAGUAUUGAUUUAAGGCAUCUUUUAUCAAUUAAAGAAUUUCGGAAACGGAUAGGCUCGCGUGACAUUAGCUAGAUGGCGGGGUAACGGCCCACCAUGGCUACGAUGUCUAGGGGUUCUGAGAGGAAGGUCCCCCACACUGGAACUGAGACACGGUCCAGACUCCUACGGGAGGCAGCAGUGAGGAAUAUUGGUCAAUGGUCGAGAGACUGAACCAGCCAUGCCGCGUGAAGGUCACGGCCCUAUGGGUCUUAAACUUCUUUUGUAAGGGAGCAAUAAGGUGCACGUGUGCAUCGAUGAGAGUACCUUACGAAUAAGCAUCGGCUAACUCCGUG